rnacentral:rRNA from 1 species
UAGGGAAUCUUCGGCAAUGGACGAAAGUCUGACCGAGCAACGCCGCGUGAGUGAAGAAGGUUUUCGGAUCGUAAAACUCUGUUGGUAGAGAAGAACGUUGGUGAGAGUGGAAAGCUCAUCAAGUGACGGUAACUACCCAGAAAGGGACGGCUAACUACCUGCCAG